AGCGACUUGUACUGUGAAACUGCGAAUGGCUCAUUAAAUCAGUUAUGGUUUAUUUGAUGGUACCUUACUACUUGGAUACCCGUAGUAAUUCUAGAGCUAAUACAUGCAGGAAAUCCCGACUUCGGAAGGGAUGUAUUUAUUAGAUAAGAAACCAACCCGGCUUGCCGGUUGCGUGCUGAGUCACAAUAACUGCUCGAAUCGCAUGGCCUUGCGCCGGCGAUGGUUCAUUCAAAUUUCUGCCCUAUCAGCUUUCGAUGGUAGGAUCGAGGCCUACCAUGGCGUUUACGGGUAACGGAGAAUUAGGGUUCGAUUCCGGAGAGGGAGCCUGAGAAAUGGCUACCACAUCCAAGGAAGGCAGCAGGCGCGUAAAUUGCCCGAAUCCUGACACAGGGAGGUAGUGACAAGAAAUAACAAUACAGGGCUAUCUUAGUCUUGUAAUUGGAAUGAGUACAAUUUACAUCUCUUCACGAGGAUCAAUUGGAGGGCAAGUCUGGUGCCAGCAGCCGCGGUAAUUCCAGCUCCAAUAGCGUAUAUUAAUGUUGUUGCAGUUAAAACGCUCGUAGUCGGAUUUCGGGGCGGGUGCGCCGGUCUGCCGAUGGGUAUGCACUGGCGGGUCCGUCCUUCCUUCCGGAGACUAGCCCUACUCUUAACUGAGCGGGGUUGGGAGUCGGAUCGUUUACUUUGAAAAAAUCAGAGUGUUUCAAGCAGGCAGCUCGCUCUUGCAUGGAUUAGCAUGGGAUAAUGAAAUAGGACUUUGGUGCUAUUUUGUUGGUUUCGAACACCGAAGUAAUGAUUAAC
rnacentral:rRNA from 1 species